rnacentral:rRNA from 1 species
UACGUAGGGUGCGAGCGUUGUCCGGAAUUACUGGGCGUAAAGGGUUUGUAGGUGGCUUGCUCAGUCAGACGUGAAAUCCCUCAGCUUAACUGGGGAACUGCGUCUGAUACUAGCGAGCUUGAGUGCAGGAGAGGAACGCGGAAUUCCCGGUGUAGCGGUGAAAUGCGUAGAUAUCGUAAGGAAGACCAGUGGCGAAGGCGGGUCUCUGGACAGUUCCUGACGCUGAGGCACGAAGGCCAGGGGAGCAAACGGG